AGUGAACGCUGGCGGUAGGCCUAACACAUGCAAGUCGAACGGCAGCACAGUAAGAGCUUGCUCUUACGGGUGGCGAGUGGCGGACGGGUGCGGAAUACAUCGGAAUCUACUUUUUCGCGGGGGAUAACGUAGGGAAACUUACGCUAAUACAGCAUACGACCUACGGGUGAAAGCAGGGGAUCUUCGGACCUUGCGCGAUUGAAUGAGCCGAUGUCGGAUUAGCUAGUUGGCGGGGUAAAGGCCCACCAAGGCGACGAUCCGUAGCUGAUCUGAGAGGAUAAUCCGCCACACUGUAACUGAGACACGGUCCCGACUCCGACGGGAGGCAGCAGUGGGGAAUAUUGGACAAUGGGCGCAAGCCUGAUCCAGCCAUACCGCGUGGGUGAAGAAGGCCUUCGGGUUGUAAAGCCCUUUUGUUGGUAAAGAAAAGCAGCAGGUUAAUCCCCCGCUGUUCUGACGGUACCCAAAGAAUAAGCACCGGCUAACUUCGUG
rnacentral:rRNA from 1 species